rnacentral:rRNA from 1 species
CAGGAUGAACGCUAGCGGCAGGCUUAACACAUGCAAGUCGAGGGGCAUCGGGAGUAGCAAUACUUGCCGGCGACCGGCGCAAGGGUGCGUAACGCGUGAGCAACAUGCCCGUAUCAGGGGGGAUAAUCCAUGGAAACGUGGUCUAAUACCCCAUAGUAAUUAUGUAAGGCAUCUUAUAUAAUUUAAAGCUUUGGUGGAUACGGAUUGGCUCGCGUGACAUUAGCUAGAUGGUAAGGUAACGGCUUACCAUGGCUACGAUGUCUAGGGGUUCUGAGAGGAAGGUCCCCCCACACUGGAACUGAGACACGGUCCAGACUCCUACGGGAGGCAGCAGUGAGGAAUAUUGGACAAUGGAUGGAAAUCUGAUCCAGCCAUGCCGCGUGCAAGGAAGACGGCCCUAUGGGUUGUAAACUGCUCUUGUAUGGGAGCAAUAAGGGCUACGCGUAGUCCGAUGAGAGUACCAUACGAAUAAGCACCGGCUAACUCCGUGCCAGCCGCCGC